GGUCGGUUAGCUCAGUUGGUUAGAGCGUCGUACUAAUACAGUGACUGCGUGACUGUAUCAAGUAAUGCGAAGGUCAUGGGUUCGACCCCCAUACUGACCA